UGUAGGUCACAACCCUUGACCUUUAUACGUCUGGCACGGAGUUCCAAGUUGAUGUUGACAUUUACCGGCCAAGAAAUAAUUUACAUUCUUCAGUUCUGUGGAUGCAUGUAAAUGUCCUCCCAAGAGGAAGGAAAUUCUUCCUUGACGUCACCAAGUGCAGGGGCAGUUAAUCCAGCCCGAUUCUUCACAAUGGAAGGUGGCGGAAUAGGAGAGAAUAUUAUACAUGUGAUUAAUCCUGCAUCAUUAGGAUCUCUAUCAGGAGCUACAUCAGUUGCUAAUUCUGCUCUUCAAGCUGCUAACAUGCAGACCAUAACAAUACAGCCAGGAACUUUUCCUAUACCUAUUAGUAUAGCUCAACAAAUGAUUGGUUCACCAACAGCAGUUACAAAUGGUGGACAACAGCAAAUAAUUAUGUCGUCUGCUGACCUGGCAGCUAAACUGAAGGAUGGAUUACCUACACAAGUUCUACAGGUACCAACUGGUGGCUUCUCAGCAGCAAAUGUUGACUGGGCUGCUAAACUCAAGGAAUUGCAACAUGCCCAAAGAAUAGACAGACUGAGAGAUGAGCAAAUUCAGAUUAGACAGAGGACACAGUUGAAAAUAGAGACUAAGUUUGAUCCAUGUGUAGUAUGUGGAGACAAGGCCUCUGGGAGACAUUAUGGUGUGAUCAGCUGUGAAGGAUGUAAAGGUUUCUUUAAGAGAAGUAUACGUAAACAACUUGGGUAUGCCUGUCGUGGUGGAAAGGAUUGUCCAAUCAACAAACCACACAGAAAUAGAUGUCAAUACUGUCGACUACAGAAAUGUUUAGCUGUGGGAAUGAGAGCUGAAUCUGUCCAGCAAGAGAGAAAACCUCCACCUGAAAAAGAUAUCAGACCACCAAUGGCUGUUUCCACCUCUACACAGAAGAUUUAUAUUCGUAAAGAUUUUACCAGUAAUUCAGCCUCUGUUCCUGUUUUCAGUCCUAAGUUUGAGUACAAAGGAGAACAGCAACAGAAUAACAGUGCCUCAUCAAAUUUAUUGGCCAACCUACAGGAAAGGAUCGUGGAGACAGAGCACGGGACAGUCUUGCUGGGGUCAAGUCAAGCUGUCCCAACUACUGCCAAUACAGAUCUGAGCACCCUUGCUAAUGUUGUGACAACUUUAGCUACAAUGGGUAAAAAUAAUGAAGAAAAUCAAGAUCAGAAUCUCUCUCAACAACAGCCACAGAUCCCGAUCCCUAUCAGCUCAUCUUCUGGUCCAGCUCAAAGCUCGGUCGCCAAAGCGUUUGACACUCUGGCUAAAGCUGUUAAUCAAACAAGUCAGGUAUUCACACAGAGUGAACCCAAAAAUAUACAGAAUUUGUUGUCUGCUAUGAACAUGGACCAUUCUAAUUUGGUGAAUGAUAGUUUGGACCAAUCAGUAUCCAGUUUGGACCAGUCUUCGUCAAGUUUGGACCAAUCAUCAUUGAGUAUGGAUACAUCUGCUAUGACUGCUGAUUACAGCAGAGAUUAUGUAGAAAUAGAGGGUCCAAUUCUGUCAUCAUCCAAUUUCCAGUUCAAUUUGACCACACCUUCUCCAAUGCCUGCUUAUUUAAAUGUACAUUAUAUUUGUGAAAGUGCUUCUCGGUUGUUAUUUUUAUCCAUGCAUUGGACAAGAUCUAUACAGGCUUUUCAGGCUUUGAGUCAGGAUAUACAGACUGUUUUGGUAAAGUCUUGCUGGAGUGAGUUAUUCACACUUGGUUUAGCACAGUGUUCACAGACCAUGUCUCUGCCGACCAUAUUAAUGGCUAUUUUAAAUCAUCUUCAGACAGCUUUGCAUCAAGAUAAGACAUCAGCAGAGCGUAUUAAGAUUGUUAUAGACCACAUACUGAAGUUACAGAAUUAUAUCCAGUCAAUGCAUCAGUUAAAUGUAGAUACAGAGGAGUAUGCUUAUCUGAAAGCAUUAGUGCUAUUUUCUCCUGAUAAUCCCUCAUUACUGAAUGCUCCACAAAUAGAGAAAAUCCAGGAUAUGAUCCAACAGGAAUUAAGACAUCAUGUAGAACGGACACAUCCUUCAAAUCCUGACAGACUUCCUAAACUAUUACUGAGACUUCCUCCUUUACAUGGGAUGACUCCGAGUAUCAUGGAAGAACUGUUCUUUGCUGGUCUGAUUGGUAAUGUUCAGAUAGACAGCAUUAUACCAUAUAUUCUUAGGAUGGAGACCGCAGAAUAUAAUUCACAAAUGGCAGGACAGGGUCUGUUAGGAUCUGCAAUGUCGAACGAUGGAAACGUAACAAUGGCUGAGCCAAAUGUGUCUUCUGUGCAUACCCGACCAACAUCAUCGAAAUUAAACUCUCAGACUUCUACGGAACAGACAGAAUCUCGUCAAGGUUUUUAUGUGGAUACAUCACAUGCCUUAUCUGACAAAAAUAUAGCCACAUCAUUGAAUCAGCUGGUUACAUCAGCUGCACAUAACAUUGAAGCACCACAGUCAUUUUAUGUGGAAACUUCUUUGUCUCAAAACAAUGAGCAUACACAGAAUCAGUUCCCAUCACAACAACAGUAUGUUGACAUUACACAAGCUUCUAAUAUAGAUAGUGCUCGAUCUGAACUGGCACAGAGUGUGGAAGCUGCCAUUGGCUCCCAUGCUGCUGUGUUACUAGGGGUACCUGUUGCUUUGGCUGCUGAAACCAUGGCAACACUUCAACCAGUGCCACAUUCAUCCAUUUCUGUUUCAUCAAAUGGUUCUUCACAGAAUUAAAUUGUUAAAGAUAUGAGAUUUAUAUAUUGUUUUAAUUUUUAUGUUUAUUCUUUUGUUAUUUUAUGUUUCCUUUGUCAAAUCCAAGCAUUUUUAUAGUUAUAAGUGUAGCAUUUUAACAUAAAAUCAUCUGAAGCCGCUCUCUUAUCAUGAGGGUGUUAUAUUUAUUUUCCAUUCAAAGUGUCAAAUGUUUUAUAAGUAAUUAACAAGAUUACAUGUUGAUAAUCGGAGGAGGAGGAGAUAUGAUAAGGGUCAUUAUUAUGCCUAUAUAAUUGAAAAAAAAAAUGCCCUGAAAAAUCAAUAUGAUAAGAAUCAUAGUUUUGCCCAUGAAAUUACAAAAAAAUAAUGUUCAGUCCUUUCAAAAUUAUUUGACUUAUGAGAAGUUAAUACAAUCUUGUGACUUAAGUGCAGAAAUUAUGGUUGAGAUUUCACUAUGAUGUAAUUUUUUUUUCCAUUGACAGGAUGGGGCCUCAAAUAACCAUUUUUCACAUAAUUUUGGGUCAAAUUCUAUGAAUCAAAAAGCAUGCCUGAAAUAUUUUUAUUCCUUCUAGAAUGCCUCUUAUCCAUCCCAUCCCUUGGAUGCUUGGAUAAUAGGCCAUUUAAAUAACAGAAGCCUCCAGGUUGAAUGUGAAUCUUUUAAGAAACAAAAUGAUUGUUAUUAUCAUCGAUGAUUCCAAUUAAAUAACAUCAUAGACAAUAUAUAUCUAUCUGAAAAAUACUGCUCAAUAUGUAUAUCAAGGCACUGUAUCCAGUAGUUAAACAGUUAAAAAAAAAGGUAAUGUCUUGCGACUUGAUGUUUCUGUUUAGAAAAGACCAUAUUUUAGUAUUUACCUUUAGUCUGGGACCUUAUUGUACACAUUUAUUUCAGAUAUGUUAGUCUCUUUUUGGCUUGGGCAUUGACCAACUUUGCAAAAAAGUUGACCUUAUAUUACCUUCUCCUUCACUAUGUUAAGAUUUAAAUGAAAUACAUGACAAAUGGCAAUUUAAUGUUCUAUUCACUGUUUUAAUGAAGACCAGCAAUAUAUCUAUCAUUUUAGACUUUGUUUAACAAUCAUGUUAUUUUGCACACAUUAUUGGAAUAUAAAUUACCCAUGGUUCAAUUCUGUUCUGACGUGGCCAAUUAAAUUAUAGUAAAGUACAAAAUGUCAUUAAAAAGUGCAAAGGUUCUCCGUUCAAGGCAGAGCCAUUACAAAUAUUUCAUAAGAAGUGAAACCAUGGUAACAGAGCAUUUAAUUUUCAUAAACUCAAAAUUUCAUCUAUUUAUUUGUAUUAUUUUAUAUUAAACCUCCACAAAUAGAAAUAGAUAUAGUUCACUGAAAUAGGCCUUUUAAUAUUCCAAAAUAAUGAUUGCAGAGCAGAAUUAUUCAGUUAGAAAGUAAGUGCAUUUGACAUGUUUGAUAAAAUAGUUAAAAUAUCCAGAGAAAAGACGAUUGUAGAUUUCCAACUUUAUCAAUAAGGAUCUUUACAGGUGUAUUGAAGAAUUCAAUUUCAUUGACUUGAAUUUUGUGCACUGAAUUACAUAUAUAGUUAAAAGUUUCUUUAUUGAUACAUCAGCUAUAAAAGAUCUUGUUCAAAAUAAGUUGAAUGCAAUGUGCUGCACUGGGUUCCAUGAUUGAAGAUGAUAAGAAACGAAAAAUGAGGAUUUGAUGGCAUUUGUUAUUGGAUGGAAUAUGACAUUGAAUAAACAUUCUAUAUGUGUAGUAGUGCCUUUCAAUCUCCCUUCUUCUAUUUUUGUAUUCUAAGACAUUUUAAAAAUAAACAAACAAUUGGCUUGAUGUCCUAUAAAUGUCCAGAGUAAGAGAAAUGUUUUAUUAAUAUUGUCCCUUGAAAACUAUUUUUUUCUGCUUUCAGGAAAUGUAUCUUUUUUAAGAAAUAUUGUCCAGUAAAGGUCAUUAUAACAUUUGUCCUUUUCUGAGUUGCAAGAAAUACACCUUGUUUAAAGAUACCAUUGAAACCUCAUUGUUUGUUUUAAGAAUAAGAUGACCUGAUGGUCACCUUGCCCAUAUGAUCUUGUGGCAUAAGAGUGAAAGUGUUAACAUACAUUUUAUGAAGACUGAAGGGUCAUCUGUUAAGGGUUUUUUAUCUUCGGAAAUUUUAAUAACAUUUUCAUAAAUUGUCUGUUUCAGUAGAUGAAAAUAACAACAUUUUGAAAAAAAGAUUAUUUCAAUAGCUAAAGUUUUUAAUGUAUUAAAAUUAUGGAAUAAUGUAGAUAGGUCAGGUAUUUGUUUAUUUGAGAUACAACCAUUUGAAAAAGAAUUAUAGGAGGAACAUUUUUUUCUCUCCUGAUUUUUCUAGGGAAUAUAUGGGCUGAAAUGAAUAAUGAACGGUGUAGUACAAAUAACAAGAGUUAUAAAAUAUUUUGAGAGGAGUGAUUUUUUUUAAAUGUUGCUAAUAUUCUGUUAAGUGGGAUUUUUUUUAAAGAAAGGUCUAAACUGUGUGAAAAAGGUUUGGACUUUGAGUGGGGAAAUUUAAUCUCCUUGAAAAUAAACCAAGGGAGUUUCUAGGCUUUGUUUUACAUCCAGGUUAAAGUCGGAGAGUCGAUAAAGGAGAACAAAUUUUAUUUCUAAAUGAAGUUCAAAGCAUUAUCUGCCAAUCCAUAACAGAAAAUAUAACUUGAUUGAUCUUUUUGUGGAAAGAAGAAGCAAGACAAAGUUAAUGAAUUUUCAAUGGUAUUCUCAAAUUCAGGGUUGGCUAUUCAAAGAGUUAUAAUGUGAUGAAAGGAAAUCAAAAUAUUUUUGUUUAUGCUGCAAUAAAAUGUUUUUUACUUCAUAAUGAAAGAUCAUAGUUUUUGUAUAAAAUGAAUCAUUACUCAUUAAAUGAGGAGAAUAUUAUAUUAUGGUAUUUUAUAGCUUUUGUAAGUUUUCUGUGUAACAGAAUAUUUUGCUUGCUGUAUAAUGUAAUUUGCUUAUUGUACCAAUAGCUUAUUUCAUUAUAGGAUUAUGUGCUUUCAUAUUGUGUUCCCUGAAUGUACCUUUGUCAGUUUUUAUUUCAUUGUAAGAAACAGUGUGGGCAAAUCUAAGGGGUUCAAUUUUUUUUUUUUUUUUUAUAGUUUUGCUGAAGAUCCUUGUCUGACACCAAAAUAUUUUUAUUUUUGUACUCCUCUUUUUUUGUCAAACGACUUUAGGGAUGUUAUCUACAGAUAUCAUAACAUUUUCUUUGUUUCAAUAUUUUUGUCAGAAAAUAAACAACACACCAAAUUAUUAGAAAAACAAAGAUAAGUCUGUACGCUUGUUUUUGGAAUGAAACAAAAUUUUGUUAGGAAAAUAAAAAUGUAUUUAUGGGGUCAAUUCAAUUUAAGAAUGUAAGAAAUUUAUUGAUAGCAUAACAAGAAUUACAAACUAUUUGCCAAAUGUGUAUGCUAGAUAUUUCUUUGUAAAAAAUAAAAAUAAAUGAAGGGAUUCGUGGGCAUUUUUUUGUAAUGAAUUGCUACGGAAAAUUCUCAAAGUGUUUUUAAUAUGAGCGAAAUAGGUUGAAAAGUGAAUGGCGAACAUCCUUUGACAAAAGCAGAAUUGAAAGUUGGCUGGUUUUUUCAUUACUAUUUAAACCCGCUGAAUUCUGCAUCUCUCACCCAUGGUGAUAUUACAAACAUUAAAAGGAACUAAAUAUUUGACCAACACAUUUUUGUACUCAUAAUCAUAAUAAAUGAACAUCUUUAUGUGGGAAAGAAUAUCUGACUAAUUAAAAAAUAUUACAAAUUCUGAUAUGUGAAAUACUGUGAUUUAUCUUUAUUUGUGGUAUACCAAUUUUCGUGGAUUUCGCAGGUAACAGUGAACCACUAAUUUAAAUGUCCAUGUUUUCCAUAGGCUUGUAUGGAUACUUUGGAAAAACCACAAAAUCAAAUAUCUACUAAGAUGCAAUUUUUCCACAAUCAACGAAAAUUGGUAUCCACGAAAAUAAAUGAAUCCACAGUAAAUUUAGACCAUUACACUUUGUCAAGAGACAAAACAAAAAUUUUAAGGGACUCCUUAUUUAGUAGUUUAAUUUCAGAUAAAAAGAAAAGCAAAACUGUCUUAACAUUUGUUAUUUAUAAUUCCAGUAUCUGUUAACAAUUUUUUAAUUUUUGAAGAAUAACGGAGGCCUAUUUGGAGGUGACCAGAAGUGAACUCACAAUGUUUGUGGAAUAUUUUGUUUCAAGAAUAUUUUUGAUUUUCAGUUUGUUGUGUUGUAUAUUUAAAUGUUUUUACCACCAUAUCAGUACAUGGUGUUAUUAAGUUUGUUGUUUGAUGUACAAUGUAAAUACCAAAACAUAAAGGGGUAGGGGUCAAAUUUUUUCCUCUGUUUAAAGGUCUCAGACUUUCCUAUAAUUACUUCAAAGUCCAUAGUAAAGGGAAACAUCAUAGCAUGUAUUUAACAAUUAAAUAAUGGUUUAUUUAUUAUUUUACAAGAAUACUUAACAUUUUUACAAAUGUUAGCCAUUUUUGAAAAUAAAUUUACACAAUAUUAAAAGGAUUCUGGAUUUCUCACCUUUUCGUUCAACUCUGAUUGAAAAAAACCAACAGCUUAAAGCCUUUUUUUCUUGCUUUUUGUAGAAGACAUUUCUGAUUGCUGCAAUAUAUAGGUAAAAACAUAUUGAUUUAUUUUUUCCCUAAGAAGGUCAAUGUAAAUAAUUUAGAAAAAAUUGUCCUUGGUUAUUUAUGGUUUUUGCUGUCCUGAAAGAUGAAUUCUAAGGCCGUCAGAUAACUAGGUAGAAUAUUUUGAUGAUUGAAUGAAAUUUAAUAUUGUACUCUCUUUAAAUUGAAAAAGGGGAAAAAACUUUACAGUUUGCUAAAAAUUUGAUAGCAUUUCAUAAUGAUAGGUGGUAUCGUCACAUCUAUGUUUCGUAUAAACAUGGGUGUUAAAAAUAGUUAUAUAAGCUGCUAAAUUUAUAAGAGGAAUUAUGACUGGAAUGAUUAAGGUGAUUUAUAUGAAAGGUAGAGGGGUUUGAAUCAGAAUUUUUAAAGGUGAAUGGUCACUUAGAACAAAACUCCCUACUGUGUCAAAAUAAUUCAGAAGUAAGUAUUUUUCUCCCCUGACUCCUUUUGAACCUUUGAAGAAAUCCACUGUUGUAACUUGAUAAAAAAAUAAAGUAUGGGACCUACUAUUGAAAAUGGAAAUUAUACUUAUUUCAAAUAGUUUGUUGAUUGAAGAAAAAUACAGCAGGCAUGAUAAUAUCAAACAAUUGAGUUUUAAUAUUGUAUGGUUCUAUAUGUGUACAUGACACAGUAGUUCUUCAUCACAGAAAUAUUCAUAAACUACUAAGAUAGGAAAACUGGAUGGGAUGUUGAUCAAGUUAUUACUGGCAAAUGUAAAAAAUCAAUAAGUGAAUAUAUGAUUGUUGUCUUUGUUAAGGAAGAGAGACAGGUAAAGUGAAUAAAAUGAGAAAUUUCUCACUGUUUAUGCAUUUUCUGGCAAUUCUUGCCAUUGUUCUGUUUGUUGUUAAUUUUCAGAGUAUAUUAUUGUCUAAGCUGCAGAAAUAAAAAGAGAACAUUUUAA